rnacentral:rRNA from 1 species
UAGGGAAUCUUCGGCAAUGGACGGAAGUCUGACCGAGCAACGCCGCGUGAGUGAAGAAGGUUUUCGGAUCGUAAAGCUCUGUUGUUAGAGAAGAACGUUGGUAGGAGUGGAAAAUCUACUAAGUGACGGUAACUAACCAGAAAGGGACGGCUAACUACGUGCCAGCAGCCGCGGUAAUACGUAGGUCCCGAGCGUUGUCCGGAUUUAUUGGGCGUAAAGCGAGCGCAGGCGGUUCUUUAAGUCUGAAGUUAAAGGCAGUGGCUUAACCAUUGUACGCUUUGGAAACGGGAGGACUUGAGUGCAGAAGGGGAGAGUGGAAUUCCAUGUGUAGCGGUGAAAUGCGUAGAUAUAUGGAGGAACACCGGUGGCGAAAGCGGCUCUCUGGUCUGUAACUGACGCUGAGGCUCGAAAGCGUGGGGAGCAAACAGG